rnacentral:lncRNA from 1 species
CACAACGGAACAACCUGCCAGACAAGCCAAAAUCACCUGCGUGUUAUGCCAGAACCACUUGGAGGACUCUCUGGGAUGACCUGCCGCGCAUGCCGGAACCACCUCUCAGACGUGCCGGAAGCACGUGCCGGACACUCCGGAAACACCUACCGGACAGACCGGAACCACCUGCCAAGAACGCCGGAGCCACCUGUUCGACUCGCUGGAACCACCUGCCGGACAGGCCAACAUCAACUGCUGGCUAUGCCAGAACCACCUGGGGCACAGUCCGGGAUCACCUGCCAGCCAUGGCGGAACCACCUCUCAGACGUACCAGAACCACCUGCCGGAGAAGCUGGAAACACGUCCUGGACAGACUGGAACCACGUGACAGCCAUGCCUGAACCACCUGCCGAGCAUGGCGGAACCACCUGCCGGACACGCCAAAAUCACCUGCGGGCUACGCCAGAACCACUUGGACGUCUCUCCGAAACGACCUGCCGGGCAUGUUGGAACCACCUCUCAGACGUGCCAGAAGCACGUGGCGGACAGUCCGGAAUCACUUGUUGGGAAUACGCAACCACCUCUGACACGUACCAGAACCACGUGCCGUGCACGCCGGAAUCACCUACCGGACAGACCGGAAUCAAAUUUUGCGCAUGCCGGAACCACCAGUCAGAUGUGCCAGAAACACGUGCCGGAGACGCCGGAAGCACCUGCCGAGCAUGUCGCAACCACCUGCUCAGCUCGCCUGAACCACCUGCCGGACACGCCAAAAUCACCUGCCCGCUACACCAGCACCACUUCGGGGACAAGCCGGAAUCACGUGAGGGGCAUGCCGGCACAGCCUCUCAGACUGAACCUCGUGCCGGACACCACAGAACCACCUGCCGGACAGACCGGAACCACCUGCCGGACACGCCGGAACCACCGGCUCGACCCGCCGGAACGACCGCUGGACAUGCAAAAUCACCUGCCGGCUACGCCGGAAUCACUUGACGAACACUCCGGAAUCACCUGCCGGCAUGCCGGAACCACCUCUCAGAUAUGUCAGAACCACGU